GAUGAACGCUGGCGGCGUGCCUAAUACAUGCAAGUCGAGCGAACGGACGAUAAUCUUGUUUCGCGGAUGUUAGCGGCGGGCGGGUGAGUAACGCGUGGAUACCCUACCUAUAAGACUGAGAUAACUUCGAGAAACCGGAUCUAAUACCGUAGAAUAUUUUGAACCGCGUGGUUCAAAAGUGAAAUACGGUCUUGCUGGCACUUAUAGAUGGAUCCGCGCUGCAUUAGCUGGUUGGUAAGGUAACGGCUUACCAAGGCAACGAUGCAUAGCCGACGUGAGAGAGUGGUAGGCCACAUGGGAACUGAGCCACGGUCCAGGCUACUAAGGGAGGCAGCAGUAGGGUAUGUGAGGCAGCGGGGGAGAGCAUGACGGAACAACGCGGAGCGAGAGGUAGCAGUCUUGGGAUCGGAAAAAUGUGUUAUUGGGGAAGAACAUAUGUGUAAGGAGAUGUGCAGAUCGUGACGGUAACGAAUAAGAAAGCAACGGCUAACUACGUG
rnacentral:rRNA from 1 species